GCUUCCUUGGCUCAGUUGGUAGAGCGUUGGUCUCAUAUGUGCUAUGAAGGUAUACUAUACCUGCGAUCCAAAGGUCGCCAGUUCGAGCCUGGCAGGGAGCA
rfam:Sphaerobolus stellatus SS14 unplaced genomic scaffold SPHSTscaffold_72, whole genome shotgun sequence.